rnacentral:lncRNA from 1 species
UUGGGUUUAUAGGUUUCUGCCUAGGGUUUAGAUUUACUAAGUAAAUGUUUGGGUAUAGUAAACCAUAUUAUAUACAUUCUAUUUGGGUUUGUACUUCCUUGAUUAGGGUUUAGCUUAAUCUAUUUAUUUAGGUUUAGGGUUUAGGGUAUAUUUGGAUUAGGGUUUAGUGACUAGAACUUAGGGUUUAGUAUUUAGAAGGUGAGGGGGUAUGGUUGGGAUCAGCAUUAACUUCUUUCAUGCAAUCAUAGACAUUAUAUUUGGGUUUAAAUUUAGUAACUAGGGAGUUUGUUUAAGGUUUAAUAUUUAAAUGGGUGGUAUGGUUUAGGAUUUUGUGAUUAAGAUAUAGGGUUUAGUAUUUGAAAGGUGAGGGUUGAGUUUUGGGUUUAGUGAUAACAGUUUAGGGUUUAAUAUUUAAAGUUGGGUGUGAGUUAGUCAUUCUAUAGUAUUGAUAAGUUCUAUACUAUUUGAGACAAUAGUUCUAUACUAUUUAUUAAAUAUGUAAUAAUUUGCCAUGUUAUAGGUUUCUUGUUAGGGUUUAGAUUGUCUCAUAUUGAAAAAUAGUUUAUAGAUUGUAUUUGGGUUUAUAGGUUCCUGGUUAGGGUUUAGAUU